UACGUAGGGGGCAAGCGUUGUCUGGAUUUAUUGGGCGUAAAGAGCGUGUAGGCGGCCUGAAAGGUCAGCUGUGAAAACUCGGGGCUCAACCCCGAGACGUCGGUUGAAACCAUCUGGCUAGAGUCCGGAAGAGGAGUGUGGAAUUCCCGGUGUAGCGGUGAAAUGCGCAGAUAUCAGGAGGAACACCAAUGGCGAAGGCAGCUCGCUGGGACGGUACUGACGCUGAGACGCGAAAGCGUGGGGAGCAAACAGG
rnacentral:rRNA from 1 species